CUGCAGUUUAUUAAGCCGACCAUGCUGAGUGUUAAUCCAGUGGUGGUGUGCAAAGGCUGCAGACAGUAAAAGUCAUUGGUUGUGUAUGUGCUUGGCUGUGUAGUGCCUAGUGCUUUAAGGGACCAUUGAGAUACUU
ensembl:snoRNA SNORA70 Small nucleolar RNA SNORA70